rnacentral:miRNA from 1 species
GUGCCUGCCCUCAAGGAGCUCACAGUCUAGCGAGGAUGGCAGAUGUGCCAGCUCACGUGGGACCUGCCUGGUGGGCUGGCAC